rnacentral:lncRNA from 10 species
CACUUGCAGUUAAUUUUGUGCUGGCUUUAUCUGGGUCUGCCCUUCUGUUGUGAUUAAUGAUAGUCAAAUUGUCAAACUGCUUUUAUUGAAAAUAUGAUUCCUUUUUUUCUGGAUUCCAAUGGCUCUUUUUGGCACAAAUCAGAAAAAGCUUCUAGAAGAGCUAUCGAGAUAUUUAAUGAAUUUGUUACUUUCCAUUAAGUCACUCUAUAACCACCUGACUGAUGUUGAAAUGACUGACUGCUUCUCUUACUGUUGAAAGCUGAAAUGCCAAUAUCUGAGAUAAAUACCCCAGCUUACACCUUACAAACCGUGGCACAUCUGUACUUUCACUGUUCUCAGGAUUCCCAGUGUUACCUGCUGGAUGGGAGAUAACACAGUGAAUGAUUAUAUACUGGAAUUCUUAGAAUCAUCAUUUUUCCAAAUACUAGGAGCCAGAAGAGUAUUUUUCUUCUAGACCCAUUGCCCCAAGACGAGGGUGACAGAAAUCUGGAACCAAACUCAUUCCAACUUCUGCAGCCAAACACAGAAGUGCCUACAUAUUCGCAGUCAGAAAUGUCAAGCUAAACCCAUCCUCAAUAAAGCAAACUGUAGAUACUU